AAAAAUUAUUUGACUUAGAUCAAAAGAUUAAGUUCUCAUCAUUAUUCAAAAUCUCAAACUUUAUAUGAUAAUCAAUUACCAAGGCCAGAAGAUUUGAUUUUGUUUGCUGUGUUUUAUUAUCUUAUUUGAUGCAAGUCAAAUUAUCAGGUCUUAAACUUCUUAUUGUUCUUGUUGAGUGUAACACUACACAAAUCUCCAGUUAUGUCAAUGGAUAUUGU
rnacentral:misc_RNA from 1 species